rnacentral:rRNA from 2 species
UCGAGCGGACAGGUGGGAGCUUGCUCCCUGAUGUUAGCGGCGGACGGGUGAGUAACACGUGGGUAACCUGCCUGUAAGACUGGGAUAACUCCGGGAAACCGGGGCUAAUACCGGAUGGUUGUUUGAACCGCAUGGUUCAAACAUAAAAGGUGGCUUCGGCUACCACUUACAGAUGGACCCGCGGCGCAUUAGCUAGUUGGUGAGGUAACGGCUCACCAAGGCAACGAUGCGUAGCCGACCUGAGAGGGUGAUCGGCCACACUGGGACUGAGACACGGCCCAGACUCCUACGGGAGGCAGCAGUAGGGAAUCUUCCGCAAUGGACGAAAGUCUGACGGAGCAACGCCGCGUGAGUGAUGAAGGUUUUCGGAUCGUAAAGCUCUGUUGUUAGGGAAGAACAAGUACCGUUCGAACAGGGCGGUACCUUGACGGUACCUAACCAGAAAGCCACGGCUAACUACGUGCCAGCAGCCGCGGUAAUACGUAGGUGGCAAGCGUUGUCCGGAAUUAUUGGGCGUAAAGGGCUCGCAGGCGGUUUCUUAAGUCUGAUGUGAAAGCCCCCGGCUCAACCGGGGAGGGUCAUUGGAAACUGGGGAACUUGAGUGCAGAAGAGGAGAGUGGAAUUCCACGUGUAGCGGUGAAAUGCGUAGAGAUGUGGAGGAACACCAGUGGCGAAGGCGACUCUCUGGUCUGUAACUGACGCUGAGGAGCGAAAGCGUGGGGAGCGAACAGGAUUAGA